UAUAUUUUGGUGUAUGAUGCACAUAAACUUUUGAUGUUUUAAGAAAUAGUUUAAUUCUAUUAAAUAUAA
rnacentral:tRNA from 1 species